GUGAAUCAUCGAGUCUUUGAACGCACCUUGCGCCCCUUGGCAUUCCGAGGGGCACACCCGUUUGAGUGUCGUGAAAUCUUCAAAAUCCCUCUCUUUUGAGGAUUUUUGGACUUGGAGGUUCAAUGCUCGCUUUUGCCUUUUUAGAAAGCGAGCUCCUCUCAAAUGAAUCAGUGGGGUCUGCUUUGCCGGUCCUUGACGUGAUAAGGUCUUUCUACGUUUUUGGAUUCGACAUCGUCCCGCUUCCAAUCGUCCCACGGACAAAAGGAUGGUGCUCCGGUCGCGGCCGGACCCACCAAAAAAAACCUUGACCUCAAAUCGGGUGAGACUACCCGCUGAACUUAAGCAUAUCAAUAAGCGGAGG
rnacentral:rRNA from 1 species